GAUGAACGCUAGCGGCAGGCCUAAUACAUGCAAGUCGAACGGGUAGCAAUACCAGUGGCGCACGGGUGCGUAACGCGUAUGCAACCUACCUUUCACUGGGGAAUAACUUUGAGAAAUCAAAGCUAAUACCGCAUAAAACAGGGAUCCGGCAUCGGAAUAUUGUUAAAGAUUUAUCGGUGAAAGAUGGGCAUGCGUCUGAUUAGCUAGGUGGUGAGGGAACGGCUCACCAAGGCGACGAUCAGUCGGGGUUCUGAGAGGAAGAUCCCCCACACUGGCAAUGAGAUACGGGCCAGACUCCUACGGGAGGCAGCAGUAGGGAAUAUUGGGCAAUGGGCGAAAGCCUGACCCAGCCAUGCCGCGUGCAGGACGAAGGCCCUCUGGGUUGUAAACUGCUUUUGCAGGAGAAGAAUAAAUGAUUUGCGAAUCAUUCUGACGGUAUUCUGCGAAUAAGCCACGGCUAACUACGUGCCAGCAGCCGCCGUAAGAC
rnacentral:rRNA from 1 species